rnacentral:lncRNA from 1 species
CCCCACGAUGGCGGCGAGUGCCUUGGCUGGACGUCCCCGCGAAGGGACGGGGACGCAGGGCCGACCCUCUGCUCAGCGCUGGCGAAGCUCUGGCAUAUGCAAAAACUCGCGCGGACGUGUAAAUAGAGUUACUUGAGGUUCUUCUUGUAAUCGAGUCGUGGUAUCUCUUUUCUAGUUUGUGUCACUGCUCCUCUCCCCCCCACCUCUCCUCGGCCCCAAAGGAACGUUGCGACGCUUUGCGUUUCUCCCUCCGCCACUCGGGAAGCAAACCCCGGCGCCCUCCUCCCCCCGGGGGCAAAAAGGAGAGGGAAAACAAGGAGAAAAUGAUAAAAAGCAGAGAGAGAGAGAGAGGCUGCGUGUGGCUGUGUGUGUGUGUGUGGCUGUGGCUGUGUGUCAGACUCAGGAUCCCCGCGGAUGGAGCGCCGGACACCAACGCCGAUGGACGGACGCACCGUUUGCUGGCAACACUUUAGCACAAAGUUGGAAGUUUGCACUAAAAAAAAAACAAAAAACCCAGAGAAAAUAAGGAUAAAAACAACAAAAAAAAAGAGAUGAGAAAGAGAGAGAAGGAAAGGAAGAAACGGGAAGGGAAGGGAAUGGGGAGGAAAAAGAAGGGAGAAGGAAAAAGAGAUGGGAAGGAAAUGAGUGAGAAAUGGGGAAAAAAGUGAAUGAUUAGGAAAAAAUGAGACAGAUGUGAGAAAAGAUUAAAAAUUGGAAAAAAUAAGAAAAAAUAGGGAAGAAAUUGGGGAAAAAGUGAGAAAAAUGAGGAAAAAAUUGGGAAAAAUUGGGGAAAAAUGAGGAAAAAAUUGGGAAAAAAUGGGAAAAAAAUAGGAAAAAAUUGGGAAAAAAAUGGGAAAAAUUAGGAAAAAAUUGGGGAAAAUGAGGAAAAAAUUUGGGAAAAAAUUGGGGAAAAAAUAGGAAAAAAUUGGGAAAAAAUUGGGGAAAAUGAGGAAAAAAUUGGGGAAAAAAUUGGGAAAAAUGAGGAAAAAAUGGGAAAAAUUGGGGAAAAAAUAGGAAAAAAUUGGGGAAAAAAUGGGAAAAAUGAGGAAAAAAUUGGGGAAAAAAUUGGGAAAAAUGAGGAAAAAAUUGGGAAAAAAUGGAAAAAAAUGAGGAUGAAAAAAGAAUGAGGAAAAAAAGGAGCACUGCGGGAGGGCACAAAGGCUGCGCUGCGCCCCACUGAGCUGCACUGUGAUAAAGUGUUGCCAAAGAGACGGAAAAGGGAUAAGAAAUGCAUUGCUGGGGGGGGUCGGGGGGGGGGGGGGAUAAAAAAAUACAGCGGAAACGGGGGGGAAAAAUGGAUUUCUGCCCGUUUUUGGUACCGAGAGGGGAAAAACGGCGAUCCCGAAUGGCCCCCGCGGUGGUGGUUGGGGGGGGGGGGGGGGUCUUUUAGGG